GCAGCAUGUCGCGUGAGUGAAGAAGGCCCUUGGGUCGUAAAGCUCUUUUAUGGGGGAAGAUGAUGACGGUACCCCAAGAAUAAGCACCGGCUAACUAUGUGCCAGCAGCCGCGGUAAUACAUAGGGUGCGAGCGUUGUUCGGAAUUACUGGGCGUAAAGGGCGCGCAGGCGGAAUAGUAAGUCGGAGGUGAAAGCCCGGGGCUCAACCCCGGAGGGUCUUUCGAAACUGCUAAUCUAGAGAGGGUCAGGGGCCGGCAGAAUUCCUGGUGUAGAGGUGAAAUUCGUAGAUAUCAGGAGGAAUACCGGUGGCGAAGGCGGCCGGCUGGGGCCACUCUGACGCUGAGGCGCGAAAGCGUGGGGAGCAAACAGGAUUAGAUACCCUGGUAGUCCACGCCGUAAACGAUGAGCACUGGACGUCCGGAGGGUUCGAC
rnacentral:rRNA from 1 species